rnacentral:rRNA from 1 species
AGUGAACGCUGGCGGUAGGCCUAACACAUGCAAGUUGAACGGCAGCACAGGAGAGCUUGCUCUCUGGGUGGCGAGUGGCGGACGGGUGAGGAAUACAUCGGAAUCUACUCUGUCGUGGGGGAUAACGUAGGGAAACUUACGCUAAUACCGCAUACGACCUACGGGUGAAAGCAGGGGACCUUCGGGCCUUGCGCGAUUGAAUGAGCCGAUGUCGGAUUAGCUAGUUGGCGGGGUAAAGGCCCACCAAGGCGACGAUCCGUAGCUGGUCUGAGAGGAUGAUCAGCCACACUGGAACUGGGACACGGUCCAGACUCCUACGGGAGGCAGCAGUGGGGAAUAUUGGACAAUGGGCGCAAGCCUGAUCCAGCCAUACCGCGUGGGUGAAGAAGGCCUUCGGGUUGUAAAGCCCUUUUGUUGGGAAAGAAAUCCAGCUGGCUAAUACCCGGUUGGGAUGACGGUACCCAAACAAUAAGCACCGGCUAACUUCGUGCCAGCAGCCGCAGUAA